GAAUCCUUGGCUCUUUUGGCCGCAGUAUCUCGUGUUUACUGGCUUUGUGUACACACUCCUCACGCUCAAACUAUUCUGUCGUCAUUCACUGCGAGAUGUGUGACUGCACCUGCCAGACGGGUAUGAAGUAUGCAGAUUUGUCUGAACACGCUGAGCUCAGAUGUGUUUACCUCUGAGCUACAGCUGUCUGAUCAGUUUGUGACUGAGCCCUGAAGCAGUUUUUUUUAAUCAUCCGUGUAAUUAGAUCAGAGACGAUCUCACUCAUCUGAGAGAGACAUCGUGGACUGUCAGUGAUCGACAAUCAAACAGCCUUCAUGGAGACGUGUCCAAAACACUGAGAUGAACAAAAGUGGGAUCAUGUUGGAGUGGUUAAACAACACCGCCUCCACAGUAAAGAGUCACAGUGACCCCCUGACCCUCCAAACAGCAGGAGGCCGACCCUCAGUGAAGAGGCGGGAAUGUUUGAGCCUUUAUUGACCGCCGCCGACACUCAGCUCUGCGUUGUCCCCGCUGCUAAAUGACGUGUGUGUCGGUAUGUGUUUGUGUGUUAGCUGUCGGGGAGGACGAGCGGCGCUGAAUGGACGCUCACUUUCUCACAUCAGUAAAUUCAAGCCAUAGAGAAAAAGUCUCUCAGAGACGUGGGGCCGACUGUCAGAGCUACACGGUGAACAUUUGAGUUACAUUCACAGCGUUGGGUGAAAAUAAAACAGAAGUUCUGGUUCAUUUCUUUUAUUAAAAUGAACAAAA